rnacentral:pre_miRNA from 9 species
GAUGUGCGUUGCGGUUGCUCGCGUACACUCAAUGGCACUAGAUGAAUUCACGGUCCUUUUUGCUGUUCCGUGUAUUCACCAGUUCCAUAGAGUUGCGUUGGCUAUGCUGACAACUACUUUU